AAUGGCGUGUGGUUUUGCAAAAGGAUCCGAAAACUUCCUUUCCUUCAAAAUUAUAAGCUUAAAUGUCUGAACACCGCCAAUGGCCUGCAAUCUUAAGCCAGAUGGCCCGGAAGCUUCAAAAGCAGUGAGGCGAAAAUUUGCGGUUACGUUGCAAAUUCCGAUUGAGGCAAGCAUCGGAAUCCAUCUAGCAAACAGCAUUUCAGAUCCUGUACUGGAAAUACGGCACCGAUGCUUGCUGCGUUUGCCUGCCGGAACCCCAACGCAAAAAUUAGCAACUGCCGGCUGCUGCUGGUUUGUCGAGGGCACUUGGCAGACAUCUUCAGCUGAGACAUAGUGGCUCGAUUGGCUGUUCCUCCACCUCUUCCGUCAGUCGAUUGAGCCUUCUCAAAGAAAACGGAUCUCCCUGAAAUUUGGCAACUGCGAGCCGCUGAGGUGUUUUCUAUAAAGAUAACUGUAAACAAGCACGACCAGGGAACUGGGAUGAAAUCCCUAAAAGCCGUUACCACCAUAGACAGGACACAGGAGCUGCCAAUGUUUUAAAUUCCGGAAUCCGCAAUUAGCAAAGAGCUACUGAGAAUUUGCUUCGAAUAUCCCGAUGCUUGGUGCACCUGUCAGCCGUGGCCCUCAAUGUUACAAACCCGUCAUCAAGGAUGAGCAUGGAAUUUUAAUGAACACCUCAACGUUAGACACGUUGACAGUUUAGUAGCAGCAACCAUCAUGGGUGUGUCCGAAGGAAAACGAACGCCAGUAAAGUAGCAGCGCCUCGCGCUCUCGACUGGCUGUAGGUGAUGCUGCUUCAACCGACCAGGAUGUGGUCGGAGAAAAUCGAACUGGAGGCAAAAGCAUCAGUUUGAGGAUGGGCCUUUUGUCUUUCCUGGCUAAUGUCCUCCCAGAUUGACCUGGAAAACCUGCUUACAACUGUGAAAACGAUGAUUAAUCCUCCAGGAAAUCUCUGUGAUCGGCAGGAUGACGACGGUGGAAACUAUCGAUCCUAAAAGAACAUGAUUUAACUUUGUUCAUGCUUCUGCACCUUAUGAAAUCAUUGAGUUUACUGUUAAGCUCAACCGAAGAGAAAUGAAACCGGCGAAUUCAGAACCAUACUCCCACGACUUAAACCUCGUUGCAUAGAGCCGGCAAUAAAGACACCUCCAGGCACGAUUCUGGUGGUCCGAUGAUUGUUCUCGAACACCAAGAUUUUCUGGGUAUCACCAUAUAUUGGUUAAAUUUUCUGAAAACGAAAACUGGUGUGCAUGAAUAUUGCGAAAUAUUCCAGCUACAAUGAACUACAGUUACAUUUUUCCUAUGCCACUAUUUACCAGAAACGUCCCCCAUAGCCGUACCAUUCAGAUUUCGUUAAAUUGCCCUCUACCAUGCUUUUUUUUUCUUCGAACAUCUCAUCGAAACUACGCGGGUAGAAAUUUGCACCGAUUGAACAAGAGGGCCGUAUUAUUAUGAAAGAUUCGCGACAGGGUAUUAAUUACUUUUUUUCAUUGAUGCAUUUAAGAUAACUUUUGAAUAAUCAUCAAUAACAAUAUUGUUAAAAGUUCCAGAUCAUAUAUGAAUCGAAUUCUACAAUUCAUUUUAGAUUAGAACUGAACUUAGUUGGAACUUGUAAAACUCAGAAUGGUCAAUUAGUUGGAAGAUUCUUAUUUGAAGUUUGUGUCUAAAGAACUUGAUCACGAAACUUAUAAGUAAAAAACUGGUUUAAAUUUCAAAGUUAAAUGUUUGAAUCAUAAACAAUUGACAAUUGCCAAAAGCAUAAUUUAUGUUACGUAUAUAAUGAAGUGCUAAUCGAAAUUGAAAAACAAAAGCUGAGA